UGGACCGGUACAGCAAGGGUCGCAAUGAGGAGGGUGGGGUGGAGUUGUGCGCGGCGUGGCAGGGCGUGGGUGUGGGCGUGGGCGAGGGCGCCAGGGUGGAGGUGACGCCCAAAGCAACGAUGAAGGAGCUGAUUGGUCAGAUGACGGAGAGGCUGGAGGCGUCGGGGUGUGUGGUGUGCGUGGCCAGCGGGGUUGCCACAUCAAAGGCCGUCACCUGCACCCAGAUUGUCAAGAGAAGACACGCGCAUAGACUACAUCAGCUCACCGCCCUCGCUUAUAGAAGGGUAGACGAGUACUGGGAGCCCAAGAUGGAAGGCCUGGACACACUGAAGGUAACGCGAGAGGUCCCCAGUGUUGUGAUUCUACUGUCCAAAGAGGCUCUGGACCCCGCCUUGCCCGGGUAUCAAGCGCCAGGCAGUUUAGGAGAAGACUUCAGGCGGAGAGAGGAGAGAAGAGGAAGAGGAGGCAACAGAA